CAAAAAAAGCGAGAAAUCCCCUAAUUAGAACACGAUAUAUGCAUACAGUAACUACAGUAACUACAAUAAUACAGUGUUAUCCUAGGGUAUGUAAGUCCCUCUAAUGUACCUACCCUGUAUAGUGAACCACUGCUAAAUAUACCACUAACAACAGACCCUACAGUAUAAUAUUUCCAAGUCCAGCAUGUCACGUAUCUAGCUGAGAGAAGCAAAAAGAAUUAAGAAAUCCGUGUUAUAUGAUAAUAACGAUAAUAACAACCCCUUUUCAAAUUGUAAAUUAAAAUAAAAAAAGAAUCAUAAUAAAGAGACAUAGAUCCCCUUCCUAAACAUAUAUUAAAAUGAGAGGUUAUAUUCCCUAUAACAAUGUAUAUAGUUUGUGAGUGAUCAGGAGUUGGGCAUAAGUUUUUUAGCACUACGGGUGGUAUUGUUAAUGAUUUUGCUUAUGGUGAUGACAUGAUUGUGGCUUUGAAGUGAUGGUGAUGAUGAAGUGAUGGUGAAGUGACAGCAGAGGAAGUGAAAUCGUUUUUGAGAUGAAGUGAAGAAGUGAAGUCGUUCUGAGAUGAAAUGAAAUUGUUUUUGAGAUGAAGUGAAGAAGUGAAGUCGCUCUGAGAUGAAAUUGUUUUUGAGAUGAAAUGAGGAAGUGAAGUCGUUCUGAGAUGAAAUAAAUUGUUUUUGAGAUGAAGUGUAAAGAAGUGAAGUCGUAUUGAGAUGAAGUGAAAUCGUUUCGAGAUGAAGUGAAGGCAAUGAUGAGUUUUGAAUUCUUUUAAAGCAAAGAAAACAAAAUGAUGAUGUUGAUGAAACCAAGAAU